rnacentral:rRNA from 1 species
CUUUCCUUGACGACGACUGGCGCACGGGUGAGUAACGCGUAUCCAACCUUCCCAUGACCACGGGAUAACCCGUUGAAAGACGGCCUAAUACCGUAUGACGUCGUUUGCCGACAUCGAAAGACGACCAAAGGUUUGGCGGUGAUGGAUGGGGAUGCGUCUGAUUAGCUUGUUGGCGGGGUAACGGCCCACCAAGGCUACGAUCAGUAGGGGUUCUGAGAGGAAGGUCCCCCACAUUGGAACUGAGACACGGUCCAAACUCCUACGGGAGGCAGCAGUG